rnacentral:tRNA from 1 species
GGUAACAUGGAGUAGUUGGUUAAGCCACCUGCCCAGGAAGCAGGAUGUCCUGGGUUCAAAUCCCAGAGGUACUU